CCCUGUUGAGCUUGACUCU
rnacentral:ncRNA from 3 species